UACGUAGGGUGCAAGCGUUAAUCGGAAUUACUGGGCGUAAAGCGCACGUAGGCGGCUUUGCAAGUCAGAGGUGAAAGCCCGGGGCUCAACCCCGGAAUUGCCUUUGAGACUGCAUCGCUAGAAUUGUGGAGAGGUAAGUGGAAUUCCGAGUGUAGAGGUGAAAUUCGUAGAUAUUCGGAAGAACACCAGUGGCGAAGGCGGCUCACUGGACCGGUAUUGACGCUGAGGUGCGAAAGCGUGGGGAGCAAACAGG
rnacentral:rRNA from 1 species